UACGUAGGCAGCGAGCGUUGUUCGGAGUUACUGGGCGUAAAGGGUGUGUAGGCGGUUCUUUAAGUUUGGGGUGAAAUCUCCCGGCUCAACCGGGAGGGUGCGCCGAAUACUGAGGGACUUCGAGUGCGGGAGAGGAAAGUGGAAUUCCUGGUGUAGCGGUGAAAUGCGUAGAUAUCAGGAGGAACACCGGUGGCGAAGGCGGCGUCCUGGACCAACACUGACACUGAGGAGCGAAAGCCAGGGGAGCAAACGGG
rnacentral:rRNA from 1 species